ACUGGGAUUAGAUACCCCACUAUGCCUAGCCUUAAACAUUGACACUUACACUAUUUCAUCCGCCCGGGAACUACGAGCCGCAGCUUAAAACCCAAAGGACUUGGCGGUACCCCAAACCCACCUAGAGGAGCCUGUUCUAUAAUCGAUACCCCCCGCUUAACCUCACCACCCCUCGCCAGCAGCCUAUAUACCACCGUCGCCAGCCCACCUCGUGAGAGGAAACAAGUAGGCAUAAUGGUAACCACCAAAACGUCAGGUCAAGGUGUAGCCUAUGGGGCGGAAAGCAAUGGGCUACACUUUCUACACAGAAAACUACGGAAGACUAUUAUGAAACCUAGUCUGAAGGCGGAUUUAGUAGUAAAAAGAUUCAAGAGUGUUCUUUUUAAUCUGGCCCUGGGGCGCGCACACACCGCCCGU
rnacentral:rRNA from 1 species